rnacentral:rRNA from 1 species
UACGUAGGGUGCGAGCGUUGUCCGGAAUUACUGGGCGUAAAGAGCUCGUAGGUGGUUUGUCGCGUUGUUCGUGAAAACUCACAGCUCAACUGUGGGCGUGCGGGCGAUACGGGCAGACUGGAGUACUGCAGGGGAGACUGGAAUUCCUGGUGUAGCGGUGGAAUGCGCAGAUAUCAGGAGGAACACCGGGUGGCGAAGGCGGGUCUCUGGGCCGAUACUGACGCUGAGGAGCGAAAGCGUGGGGAGCGAACAGG